GGAAUUUUCCGCAAUGGGCGAAAGCCUGACGGAGCAAUACCGCGUGAGGGAAGACUGCCUAUGGGUUGUAAACCUCUUUUUUCAGGGAGGAAUAAAAUGACGUGUACCUGAAGAAUAAGCAUCGGCUAACUCCGUGCCAGCAGCCGCGGUAAGACGGAGGAUGCAAGUGUUAUCCGGAAUCACUGGGCGUAAAGCGUCUGUAGGUGGUUUAAUAAGUCAACUGUUAAAUCUUGAGGCUCAACUUCAAAAUCGCAGUCGAAACUAUUAGACUAGAGUAUAGUAGAGGUAAAGGGAAUUUCCAGUGGAGCGGUGAAAUGCGUAGAUAUUGGAAAGAACACCGAUGGCGAAAGCACUUUACUGGGCUAUUACGAACACUCAGAGACGAAAGCUAGGGUAGCAAAUGGGAUUAGAUACCCCAGUAGUC
rnacentral:rRNA from 1 species